rnacentral:rRNA from 1 species
AGAACGAACGUUAGCGGCGCGCUUAACACAUGCAAGUCGAGCGAGAAAGGGCUUCGGCCCCGGUAAAGCGGCGCACGGGUGAGUAACACGUAGGUAAUCUGCCUCUUGGUGGUGGAUAACCUUCCGAAAGGAGGGCUAAUACAGCAUAAGACCACGCGCUCGUGAGAGCGUGAGGUAAAAGCCGGCCUCUUCAUGAAAGCUGGCACCGAGAGAUGAGCCUGCGGCCCAUCAGCUAGUUGGUAGGGUAAUGGCCUACCAAGGCGAAGACGGGUAGCUGGUCUGGAGAGGAUGAUCAGCCACACUGGAACUGAGACACGGUCCAGACUCCUACGGGAGCAGCA